UCCACAGGAAACCACAUGCAAGAAGCCAGUGCUUUUGGCAGCUUUCAUGUCUCUCCUUCCUGAGGAAGAGCUGAGGAGCACCAGAUGUGUCUGAGGAGGAUAGUCUCCAGAGGUUGGAAGCCGCCGAGCCAGGGUUUUUGCUUCUGGGCCAUAUAGACAGCAGCCCUGUCUUCACCCGCACGGGCACAGUCCAACUGUAUACAGCAGCCCUGUCUUCACCUGCACGGGCACAGUCUAAUUGUCCUCCACAAGUACCCCUCCUCAUUUUGCACAGUUGUCUGCUUGCAGUGAAAAUCUUAGCUGAUCUCCAGUACUGGACACUCCAGAGGCCCGUGAUGACAUCUACCUUGGUUCCCAAGGUCUUCACUCCACCAUGGGAGAUAAGAGUCAUGUGCAGUUUUCUUGGAUGAACAAGAAUUGUGAGUGGACAGGGCUAAAACACCCAUGCUUUUGAAGACGGGAAUGAAGGCUGCAAGCUUGAAUGGAGUCAACACCAACCAUGAGCCAGUUUAGGGAAACCCGGAAGUCAUCCUGAGAGGACCCAUGGAGCUGUGUGUGUGAUGCAAAACAAUCCAGUGAAAGGCAUGCUGGGGCUGCUGCUUCUAACCUGAAGAUCAGGACACUUAGUGUGCCAUUUCAAGGCAAGGAAAUGUCUCUCGGACAGGCUCUGGGCUGGCUAUGGGAUGCCGGUUGGGCAUUGCCCUGAGAGAUGAUGUGUCCUGCUUCUUCUUCUGUGAUAGCAGACAGUAGGUCUGCUUGUGGGUCACCUCUGAGGCAAGGAUGGCCUUGAGGUGAGCCUUGAAUAAACCUGCAGAGAUGCAAAUGUGUGGUCUGAGGGCGACCAGCUGAACCAUCCUCAUUAGUUCACAGUCAGUCUCUGAGGUGAGCGAAUCCUGGGGCAGAACUGGAAGGAGCCAGGAGAAGGGAGUGUUGAUGGGUAGCAAGGGUUAGGACAGAGGAGAGCCCCAAGUGUUGAUGGGUAGCAGGGGUUAGGACAGAGGAGAGCCUGAGGUCUCCACAAGAAACGUCACAGUCAAAUGCAGGGGCCAAGGGGCAGAGACCACAAAAAGCCAGGACCGGAGGCUGCAUAGAUGCUCAUAGACGGAUGCAGUGAGCAUCAUCCUCUCUGUGGCUGCAUUGCCAUAGAGCGGGUCUCUGAUAUGUUUCAAAGGGCAGGUGCCUUUAGCCUUGUGCCAAGUAUGACUCGAAUCACAUGACCCCUUCAUGGGAAAAGAGAAUUUUAAGAUCUCUCACGCUCAGCCAAGAUAAUCCUUUUACGACGAUGCCAGUUUCCAUGAAGGACACGUGACAUAUUUAUAAUCUGUGAGAAAACAAGUUCCCAACAAGGAUACAAAGGGAACUGAUAGACAAGACAGAGCCAAGAGUGACAGGAGUCCCCACCCAGUGAGCAUCGGAAUCUUAAAAUACAUCGGUCACAAAUAAUGCCACUUGAUGCCAAACCUCAUGAUCUGAGUUUGACUCCCAGGACCAACAUGGAAGAACAAGGAAAUUGACCCCUGCAGAUUGUCCUGUGACCUGUACUUUAUUAUGCACAUGUGAAGGUACACGCACACACAUGCACACGCACAUGCACACACAUGUAUAUACACACAUUCACAUGCCUGUAUACAAAUGAAUAAGUAAACAAAUAAGUGUUUAAACGUAAGAGGAAAGCCCCUCCCAUGCUCUGAGCAGUCUUAUUUUAGGCCACUCUGUCUGCAUUUUCAUAUGGGUGGAUCUCACUCUGAAGUCUGUUCAUUUCUCUCUGUGGCGAUUUCAGUUUCUUUGAAAGUUUCCUCCCAGCCUGGCUAGCCAUGACUUCUGUCAGGUUGCAUCUUGCCUUGUAUGUCUUCCAUGCUGUGUUCCUCAGAGGAGAGACUUGUCUCCCUGCACGGCUCAGCUGUGAACUCUCUCAGCCAGUUUGAGUUUACACAGCAUUGGUCAGACACUAAGUAGUCAGAGAGGGUGUCUAAGAGGAAGACUUCCCGAUGAAGACUGCUAGUUCAGGAUUCCACCUCCCUGCCUCUCUCUGGGUUUGGGUUUCUCCAGGCCUUACAGUAAAGCUAAUGACUGCAUCUAUAGAAUUUUGUAAAACACAAUCAGCAAAUGUAUCUAAUUAGGUCCUAUUCAGUCCCCCGCUGCAAUAGUCACAGUCAGAGAACCGCGCGUCUCGGGAGGAUAAUGGUGGAAGAGUCUGCCGAGGUGUGAGAAAUAGAUACGAGAAGUUUUAGACUGAAUCAGGAGAAUGGGUUGAUGAGGAAGCAUGGCAUUAAUUUUUGAAUGAGAAUAUACUUGCCCAUGUAACUGUUUUCUUAUCUGCCUGUAAGCUUUGAUAGUUUUAUUAAAUCUGUAGCACUCCUGGACAUGGGGGUAGCAAAAAAGCAAAGAGAUCAACCCAGAAAUGGUUUCUGCCUAAGGUUUCAAACAAGUGCACAGCGGGGCCCAGAGGACUCUGAGAGACUCUUUAAGGAGAGCAAGACUUAGGGUAGUGAGAGAGGCUUGAUGCAAAGUUGAUUCCAACCGUUGGCUAUCCCUAUCGUGGGAUAUCCAUGUCAGGUUCCUACAGCAGCUAUAACAAAUUAGCGGGGAACUCACUGAGUUAAACAGUACAUAGCCUGUCUCAGUUGGGUUUCUAUUGCUGUGUUGGAACACCAUGACAAAAAGCAACUUGGGGAGGAAAGGAUUUACUCAGGUCAUACUCUAUCACUGAGGAAAGUCAACCAGAAAUUCAAGGCAGGAACUUCGAGGCAGGAACCAUGGAGAGGCUCUCUUUACUGGCUUGCUUCCUGUGAUUUACUUUGUUUCUACAUGCCCAUGGAUGGCCCACAGUGAGCUGAGUUCUCUACAUAAAUUAUUGAUCAAGAAAAUGUUCUGUAGCUUGCCGAUAGGCCAGUUUGAUGGAGACACUUACUCAAUUAAGGUCCCCUCUUCCCAGAUGUAUUUCAGUUUCUGUCAUGUAAACAAAACUAACUAGCAUACAGCCAUUGAUAUAGAGAUCAGUGCUGUGAAGGCUUGGUUUCCUCCAUAGGCUCUAGGGAGGAGUACAUUGUCCUGCCCCUUGAGCUGCAAAAACUACAGGCUCUCCUGGACCAUGACUCUACAUUCCAUCUGCCAAGACAGCAGAGUGGCUCCUCCAUUUCUCUUCCUGUUUUCUUUCUCCUACAUUUAUCUCUCAUGCUCCUUUGUGAUGACAAUAGCCCCAUGUGCACUAUUUAGUAUCGUCUUCCCAUCCUGACUCCAUAAUCACAUCUAUUUCCUUCGGCCACAUGAGUCAACUCACACUGGAGUCAAGGCUUCAUACUGAGCCUAUUGGGGCAUUAGUCUGUCUACCACAUGGUAUGUAUCUUGGUUCAGAAGUGCAGAGUAAAUAGAGGGCCCUCAUUGAACCCACGUGGAGCCAGUUAGACUCUGAGAGACCCCUUAAAGGAGUACACCAAAAAGCAGGAACACAGUUGGCAAGAAGGAGAGAAGGACCAGCAGGAAGAAGAGGAAGGUGGCUUCCUCUAAAAGUAGAGGCAGCUUCCUGGCAAGGCUGCAGAGCAUGCUGCCAGCAACACUGAAAGGCUGAUGUAAGGAUACAGUGAUGAGAUGAAUAACUUCAGAAAUGGACCCUGAUCCCGGGCUCCCUUAAGGCAGCCUAGAAGACAGUAUAUGAGGAUCUGGGACAUGGAGCAGAUGUGGUAGACAUAAUUUUAUAGAUUUAUUAUGUUCUGAUUUGUGUGUGUGUGUGUGUGUAUUUUAUGUACAUAGGAAAGUAUGUAUCUUCCAAGAGCCAAAAUAAGAUGUUAGAUCCCUGGGAACUGGUGUCACAGGUGGUUGUGAGCCUCCCAUCGUAGGUCUGGGAACUAAAAUGGGUCUCCCAAACUCUGCUGAUUGACACAAGGGGCGAAUGUGUUCUAAAGUUUCCAAUAUACACAAUGGGCCUUUCAUUGACCUCACAAGCCAUCUCGCUGGGUAGGACAGCAAGAGGAGAGGUAGAUGUCCACACAGGAGUCAACUAUGGAAGGCAAGGCUCUUCAUUGCCUUCAAUGACCUGGCAUUGAAUGUCUGCCCAAGGAGCUCACAGCUCACCAAGGGGAAAGUUGUCUGCUCUCCUUCUCUGGAAAAGAAUAGCAUCAGAGAAUCCAUGACGCAGAUUCCACUCUGAGCAAGUGUCUCACACCGGGCCACAGAGAUAGCAGUCAGUCAUCAGCGCUGCAUGUUAGGGAGGCUGCGGGAGGUGUUGGGUGGACACAGGGACUUUGUGCUUCCCACACACAGAAAUUUUUCUGCAAGACAACUGCUAAGGAAAGCCCACUUCCCACUGUGAUGAACAAAAUAUUUCUGUAAUAUCAAUACAAAUUCUUUGGAAUGAAAACGUAGAAAAACCAUGAAAUGUAAAUGUCCUUAAUCAGAAAUUAUUACUAACCAGAAAAUUAUAUUUCAUAUGAGAUGAAAAUUACAAUAAAAUGUUAUUCAUGUCUUAAAAUUAUAUAACGGAAGUGGGCAGUGGGCUAUGCACCUUGAAUGCCAGCACUCGGGAGGUAGAGGCAAGUGGAUCUCUGUGAGCUCAAGGCCAGCCUGAUCUACAUUGGGAGUUACAGGCCAGUCAGAGCUAUUUAGUGAGACCCAGACUCAAAAGAAAAAUUACAAAAUAAAAUGGAGAAAAUGCCUAUGGAUAGCAAUGUUAGACAUGAGGGGAACAAGAAGGGAAAUGAAGCCGUUUAGGAAAAGACUUAGACAGGAAGGUCGCAUUUGUAAUUUCCACUCAGCUUAGUGGGUUUGCUACUGACUCGGCAGUCACAGAACUUUAUAGAAUAUAUUUGCUGCAAAAAGUGAAAAUGUAUGUGUAUGUACAUAUGUGUAUGUACAUGCAAAUACACAAAUAUGUGAUACAUGUAUACAUAUGUGCGUGUACAUGUAUAUAUGUACAUGUACACAUUUAUGAUUAUACAUGUCUAUGUGCAUUCAUAUCCAUGAAACUUUCUCUUUAUGAGCAUAUGCAUGUGUAUAAAUAUAUGUACAUAUAUUAUAUGUGUCUUUGCCUGU